rnacentral:rRNA from 1 species
AGAGUUUGAUCAUGGCUCAGGACGAACGCUGGCGGCGUUAACACAUGCAAGUCGAGCGGAAAGGCUUCCUUCGGGAAGUACUCGAGCGGCGAACGGGUGAGUAACACGUGGAUAAUCAACCUCUUGCUCUGGAAUACCCCGGGGAAACUCGGAUCAAUGCCAGAUAAAGUGCGGCGCCGUCGGGUGUCGUACCAAAGAUAGCUUCGGCCUUCGGCGAGAGACGAGUCCGCGGCCCAUUAGCUUGUUGGCGGGGUAAUGGCCCACCAAGGCUACGAUGGGUAGCUGGUCUGAGAGGAUGAUCAGCCACACUGGGACUGAGACACGGCCCAGACUCCUACGGGAGGCAGCAGUGGGGAAUCUUGCGCAAUGGGCGAAAGCCUGACGCAGCAACGCCGCGUGCGGGAGGAAGGCCUUCGGGUUGUAAACCGCUUUCAGGAGAGACGAAGCUUCCAGGGUUAAUAGCUCUGCGGAGUGACGGUAUCUUCAGAAGAAGUCCCGGCUAACUACGUGCCAGCAGCCGCGGUGAUACGUAGGGGACAAGCGUUGUCCGGAAUUAUUGGGCGUAAAGCGCGUGUAGGCGGCCAAGUAAGUCUUACGUGAAAUCCUGAGGCUCAACCUCAGGCCUGCGCGGGAUACUGCUUGGCUAGAGUCCGGAAGAGGAGAGGAAUUCCUGGUGUAGCGGUGGAAUGCGCAGAUAUCAGGAGGAACAUCCGUGGCGAAGGCGGCUCUCUGGGACGGUACUGACGCUGANNNNCGAAAGCGUGGGGAGCGAACAGGAUUAGAUACCCUAGUAGUCC